UGUUCUGUGGUUUAGUUGAUCAAAGCACCGCCGGUCUAGCAAAUACGGAGUUGUGGGUUCGAGUCCCACCAGAACAC
rnacentral:tRNA from 1 species